UACGUAGGGUGCAAGCGUUGUCCGGAAUUAUUGGGCGUAAAGAGCUCGUAGGCGGUCUGUCGCGUCGGAUGUGAAAAUCCAGGGCUCAACCCUGGACCUGCAUUCGAUACGGGCAGACUAGAGUUCGGUAGGGGAAACUGGAAUUCCUGGUGUAGCGGUGAAAUGCGCAGAUAUCAGGAGGAACACCGGUGGCGAAGGCGGGUCUCUGGGCCGAAACUGACGCUGAGGAGCGAAAGCGUGGGGAGCAAACAGG
rnacentral:rRNA from 1 species